UUAACGAUCAUCCAAUCACAAGUCAAGUGGUUGCAAAUAACCAAAGAAAGAUCAUCUGAAGAAACCUGCAUAUUCAUGUUGAUGAUGAAGCGUUCUAGACCCUUGUUGACCUGCGGUUCAAGCAAAAGAGCAGCAGCAAAUAUUGGAGCUUCAAGAAAACAUAAUAACAACUAGCGAGCAGGAGGACGUAUGCAGAUGGGGAAAGAAAACGAAGAGAAUAUUGGUUUUGAUGACUAGAAGAGUUCUGGGUUGCAGAUAAAAUCGACGAAUGUAGGAAAUUCUCGAAUGAGAAACCUUAGAGUGAAGAAGGAGAUGACAUUAAACAUGUUGUGGACAAGAAAAACUGUGGCAAACAAAGGAGUAGAAGAUCAUAUCCUGAGGAUGGUUAUACACAUGAGAUGAUCUCCAAUCUUCAAUUGAAAGCGGAUGGAUAAUUAUAUCUAUAAAUAUUCAAUGUACAAAUUUGUCAAUUUCAGUGUAUCCAUUUCAUUUCUAAUAAAAAAUAUAAUUAUAAAAAA